rnacentral:tRNA from 1 species
GCUCAGUUGGUUGAGCACAAGGCUCUUAACCUUGUGGACGUGGGUUCAAGCCCCAU